rnacentral:lncRNA from 1 species
ACAGCUUUGGACAAAAGUCUACAGCCAGUGUGUUUGCAAGUGCUCUGCACUGAGCUGCCUGUGGCGACAUUUUACUCCUUCCUCUCUCCGCUCAGUCAGCUGGUCCCUCUCCUCAGGUGCACCACCUACCCCUGCACCCAGUUUUGAUCGUCUGAUGGGGAAAGUCCCAGGACCCACCAGCUGGGAUAGGCCUCGCUCCCAAGGCAGCUCU